AUUGCGACCCGGCUUGAGCGGAACUCCUUUUGUUGCUGGAAAAGCUUGGGCAAAAGAGUGGGAGCGGAAGACGGAAAUUGUC
rnacentral:misc_RNA from 1 species